rnacentral:rRNA from 1 species
GCAGCCGCGGUAAUUCCAGCUCCAAUAGCGUAUAUUAAAGUUGUUGCAGUUAAUUGAAUUUCGGGAUCAAGGUGCCGGUCAUACCUUUGGUAUGUACUGACAUCAUUGAUUUCUCCCUUCUGGCGAACCAUGAUGUCAUUAAUUUGGUGUCAUGAGGAAUCAGGACUGUUACUUUGAAAAAAUUAGAGUGUUUAAAGCAGGCAUACGCUUGAAUACAUUAGCAUGGAAUAAUGAAAUAGGACGUUUGACCCUAUUUUGUUGGUUUCUAGGAUCUACGUAAUGAUUAAUAGGGAUAGUUGGG